AAUCCGUUCAGUCGUUUCCGCGUAUUAAUUUAAUUAAACUUUUUUAACAGGUGGCAACUCUUCCAAAAAAUUAGCUUAUUUUACACUGUAGAUCAUAAGCUAGGUAUCUGCUUGCAAAAUUUUAUGCAAAUCUAUUCAGUCGUUUCCGCGUAUUAAUUUAAUUAAACUUUUUUAACAGGUGGCAACUCUUCCAAAAAAUUAGCUUAUUUUACACUGUAGAUCAUAAGCUAGGUAUCUGCUUGCAAAAUUUUAUGCAAAUCUAUUCAGUCGUUUCCGCGUAUUAAUUUAAUUAAACUUUUUUAACAGGU